GGAGACGUGCCGGAGUGGUCGAUCGGGUUCGCUUGGAGAGCGAAUGUGGCCGCAAGGUCACCAGAGGUUCGAAUCCUCUCGUCUCCG
rnacentral:tRNA from 1 species